rnacentral:rRNA from 1 species
UACGUAGGGGGCAAGCGUUGUCCGGAAUCAUUGGGCGUAAAGAGCUCGUAGGUGGUUUGUCGCGUUGUUCGUGAAAACUCACAGCUCAACUGUGGGCGUGCGGGCGAUACGGGCAGACUUGAGUACUGCAGGGGAGACUGGAAUUCCUGGUGUAGCGGUGGAAUGCGCAGAUAUCAGGAGGAACACCGGUGGCGAAGGCGGGUCUCUGGGCAGUAACUGACGCUGAGGAGCGAAAGCGUGGGGAGCGAGCAGG